GAUUUUCUUAAACUUGCAUGUAUACUAAGUUUUGUUUGAUUUAACAGAGACAUCAGAUGACGAGGUACCGACGGCAAUUGAAGUCCUUGGCAACUCUAACAUAACUAAAGGGCCAUCACAAAGGAGACAAAAGUGGAACCAAGAAGUCCAGGCAGUGGAAAAAACCCUCAAGGACUGCAUCGAUUCUGGAACUGUUCCUGGGAAAGCGAAGUGUAUGAAUUGCAUUGAAGCCUCGCCAGUGGCCCUCAAAAACAGGACAUGGCAAGCCAUUAAAUUCUACGUGAAAAAUCGAAUACCUGCAUUAAAA